UACGUAGGGGGCUAGCGUUGUCCGGAAUCAUUGGGCGUAAAGCGCGCGUAGGCGGCCCGGUAAGUCCGCUGUGAAAGUCCAGGGCUCAACCCUGGAAAGCCGGUGGAUACUGCCGGGCUAGAGUCCGGAAGAGGCGAGUGGAAUUCCUGGUGUAGCGGUGGAAUGCGCAGAUAUCAGGAGGAACACCGAUGGCGAAGUCAGCUCGCUGGGACGGUACUGACGCUGAGGCGCGAAAGCGUGGGGAGCGAACAGG
rnacentral:rRNA from 1 species